rnacentral:rRNA from 1 species
CCUACGGGGGGCAGCAGUCGAGAAUCAUUCACAAUGGGGGAAACCCUGAUGGGGCGACGCCGCGUGGGGGAAGGAAGGUCUGCGGAUUGUAAACCCCUGUCAUGUGGGAGCAAAUUAAAAAGAUAGUACCACAAGAGGAAGAGACGGCUAACUCGGUGCCAGCAGCCGCGGUAAUCCAGAGGGCGCAAGCGUUGUCCGGAAUCACUGGGCGUAAAGCGUGCGUAGGCUGUUGCGUAAGUCGUGUGUGAAAGGCGCGGGCUCAACCCGCGGACGGCACAUGAUACUGCGAGACUAGAGUAAUGGAGGGGGAACCGGAAUUCUCGGUGUAGCCGUGCACUGCGUAGAUAUCGCGAGGAACACUCGUGGCGAAGGCGGUUUCCUGGACAUUAACUGCCGCUGAGGCACGAAGGCCCGGGGAGCGAACCGGAUUAGAUACCCCUGUAGUC